rnacentral:rRNA from 1 species
UACGUAGGGUGCAAGCGUUGUCCGGAUUUAUUGGGCGUAAAGAGCUCGUAGGCGGUUUGUCGCGUCGGAUGUGAAAACCCAGGGCUCAACCCUGGGCCUGCAUUCGAUACGGGCAGACUAGAGUAUGGCAGGGGAGACUGGAAUUCCUGGUGUAGCGGUGAAAUGCGCAGAUAUCAGGAGGAACACCGGUGGCGAAGGCGGGUCUCUGGGCCAAAAACUGACGCUGAGGAGCGAAAGCGUGGGGAGCGAACAGG